rnacentral:tRNA from 1 species
GCCUGGGUGGCUCAGUGGUUGAGCAUCUGCCUUUGACUCAGGGAGCAGUCCCAGGAUUGAGUCCUGCAUCAGGCU